AACCUAAAACACAUGUGAUUUGGCCAAAGUGUGUAAAGAGUUGCCCCAAAAUUUGUUAACAUCCACAGCUGAGCGAGCGCUGCCGCGCAUCCUGCGCGAGCGUCACUGAGCUUCCUGAGCGAGCGCCGCCGCGCGUCCUGCGCGAGCGCUGCCGUGCAUCCUGCGCGAGCGUCAUUGCGCUUCCUGUGCGAGCUCCACCGAGCGUUCCUGAUGGCAUCCACAACGGUCGGCUGCGAUGUCAGGGGUGCUGAGGACGCUUGGUCAUCGCAUCGGGUAUCUCCAUGCGAGACGAAGGUUUAUAUGAAGGUAUGGAUAAAGAGGCGCGGGAAGACGGAGUUACCACUAUGCUGAGGAUUGCGACAGAUCUGUUGAACAAAAGAUCUAGGAAGGAAGGCUGUUUGUUGUUGAAGGACACCGAGGAGGAUCAGCAGAAUGAAGAUUGAUGGUCAGAUACUAAGAAGACUUGAAGAUUUGGAUGAAAGAAGUUUGAUGGCAUUCGUUGUUGAUCGUUCUUUUGGUUAAGGUGGCGAAGCGGAGCUGUGUGAGUGCUUGGUUAAGUUUGAUACAGUUCGCUUUUAGUUCUUGGUUGCCUAGCUUCUGCUUUUCUCUUGUAUCUGGGAUAAUCUUCAUUGUAUUUCCGUUAUCUUGGUAAUGGAAAUGGGGUUAACCCUCGGUUCGAAAAAAAAA